rnacentral:rRNA from 1 species
UACGAAGGGGGCUAGCGUUGCUCGGAAUCACUGGGCGUAAAGGGUGCGUAGGCGGGUCUUUAAGUCAGGGGGGAAAUCCUGGAGCUCAACUCCAGAACUGCCUUUGAUACUGAGGAUCUUGAGUUCGGGAGAGGUGAGUGGAACUGCGAGUGUAGAGGUGAAAUUCGUAGAUAUUGGGAAGAACACCAGUGGCGAAGGCGGCUCACUGGCCCGUAACUGACGCUGAGGUGCGAAAGCGUGGGGAGCAAACAGG